AAGAAGGUGGCAGAGUGGCUAUGUGGCUGACUUGAAAUCAGUUGAUGGGGGUUCGAUUCCCUCCCUUCUCG
rnacentral:tRNA from 1 species